rfam:Gossypium raimondii Chr13_contig_200, whole genome shotgun sequence.
CUUAAGGAAACGUUUUGUCCAAGUGGAUAGAAAACGCGUCAUUGAGGGCGCGCUUUGUGUCCACGUGGACAAAGCACUUCCUUGAGG